UUAUUUCUUCUAAGUAAUGAAAGGAAGUGGAAACGAAAAGAUGACACCCGAUGGUUCUACCCCCUGCUCGGGGAAGUUGGUAUGCUCAAAAGCUGCGACUUAUCACUCGAUAUUCUAUCUUCCUUCGCUUCCUUCGUUUUCACCAUUUUUGACAUAAAGGAGAUGAAGUAUCUUUUUAGUCUUCACACUAGAUGGACACCAUCCUUCCUUAUCGUGGCGUCUUUGCUCUGUUUCGCGAAA
rnacentral:lncRNA from 1 species